CACACACACAACACGGCUAGUGAGCAGUGUGCGUAUACAAUGUAGAGAAGAAACAAGAAAAUAAUGGUUAUUAGUUGUUAGAAAUCCGGCUUUCUUCUGCUACCGCGGCCACUGUCGCUACUGUUGUUGCAGUAGUUGUUUAUUAAGCUGUCCAAACGUGCGCACGUUUCGGGUACACGUGAGCCGAGCAGGCGCGCAGCCACCUUCGGAGAACGUUUUCCAUAACGUGCCGCAAGUUGAAGUAGGAUAGAAAAUCAACCAAGCGCAGUCGGCAUAAUGGAUUGUUUGUGUAGCCGGCAAAAAGCUCUCAGCGUGGUCAGCACUCAUGUGUGCGUGUGUUUGAGUGUGCGUUCAAUCUGUAGCUAUUGUGCUCGCAAAAGUAGAAUAAGCUUGGCACAAUGCACGAACGCAGUGCCGUAAACAGCGUCUGUUCCCCCACCCUAUUAUGGAGCUCAUGUAAUUGCAUGUGAGUUCGCGUGGAAAUGCAAUUUCGCAUAGGCAAGCCGGCUCUCAACGCUCUGUGCAUAACUCACUAGAACGCGAACUAUCGCCGUGGACGGAUGUGCUUGCGCGCAAAAGUCAACUAAUAUUCGGAAAUAAAAAUAUCAUAUUAUAUCUCCCAAGUGAAAGAGAAAUUUCAUUUCCAAGCAGAGAAGUUCUUCUAAAAACAAAAACAAAUGCUUAAGUUUGCAACGGAAGUGCCGCAAAAUUGUAAAGCAAGUUGUUUAUCGAUAACGCUUACAUUUUGCCGCUCGUAAACAUAUAAUAACGAAUGUAUGUAUAAUUGCUUCGCUGGCUUUUGAAAUUGUUGUAACUGUUUCACUGAAUGAACGUUUAGUGCCAUGCUUUUAUGAGGCUUUAUAAACUACUAUUACAAUAAGGAAAAGUAAAUAAAAAAUGCAAAAAUAAAGUAAACAAAAUAAAUAAAAAAAAUAACAAAUAAAUCAAAUAAAAAACCAAUAAAGAUCUCUAAUUUGGAUUACAAAUUUAGCUUCGAACGAGGUCAAUAAAUUUACGCUGGACAGUGUGAUAAAACUUAUAGAUAACGAGUAUUAAUUUCGAAGAUUUUGAAAAGACGCUAGCCUCCUAAUUGCUAACACUCUUUUCCAACACCGUUUCGCUAACAAAUCGGCCAAAUGAGUGUCGAAGAGGACGAUCACGUUCUACAAACUUAAAAGUCAAUCAAUUACAAUAAUAACAAGCUUGUAAUGGACUGGUUAUUGGCAACGCCACAGAUACACAGCGCUUUCUCAUCAUUGGGUUCCCUCGAGGGGGAUACCUACGUUGUUGGUCCCAAUGCGUUAUCAAUCCUGGAUGAAAUAAACUAUAAGCUCACCUAUGAAGAUCAAACGUUACGCACAUUCCGCCGUGCCAUCGGUUUCGGCCAAAAUGUGCGUUCCGAUUUGAUACCGCUAUUAGAGAAUACAAAGGAUGAUGCUGUGCUCGACUCGGUCAUACGCAUUUUGGUUAAUUUGACAGUGCCUGUAGAGUGCCUUUUCUCGGUAGAUGUUAUGUAUCGCACCGAAGUCGGUCGACACACCAUCUUCGAGUUGAACAAGUUGCUCUAUACGAGUAAGGAGGCUUUCACUGAUCCGAAGAGCACAAAAUCGGUUGUAGAAUAUAUGAAAUAUUUGCUGGAGUCCGAUCCGAAAUUGUCAUUACAAAAAUGUGACAAAAUCAAUAAUUGCCUGCUAUUGUUGCGCAAUGUACUGCACAUACCAGAGAUGAAUGUGAACUUUGUAAUGCCGUUGGCGCAUUCACAACAAGGUGGUUCACAUCCGGUGUCGAUGCAAAAUGCGAUACUUUGGAAUCUCUUCAUACAAAGUAUUGACAAACUUUUGCUUUACCUGAUGACUUGUCCGCAUCGUGCUUUUUGGGGUGUAACAAUGGUGCAACUGAUCGCUUUGAUGUACAAAGAUCAACAUGUCAGCACGCUACAGAAGCUUUUGAAUUUGUGGUUUGAGGCUUCGCUAUCGGAGAGUUCGGAGGAUAAUGAGAGCAAUACCUCACCGCCGAAACAGGGUAGUGGCGAUUCGAGUCCAAUGCUAACGUCGGAUCCCACAUCAGAUUCAUCGGACAAUGGUAGUAACGGUUGUAAGAAUGAGUGUGCCGAAGAGCGACGACAGGCUUUGCGCGAGGAGGCGACCGAAGCCACGCUGCAGGAGGUUAGCCGCAAGGGUCACGAAUAUCAAAACUCGAUGAUGUGUGAUACGCAUGUAAAGAAGGAGGUCGACGACGUGGACACGGGCAGUACCGACAAUAAUGUCGAGAAUGAACAAAUGUGCACGUCCUUGCUAACUACAACACGUAGUACUAAUACUUCACCGACAUCCAUUAAAGUGGAAACCAUGGACGAGAUGGCCGAUGGUGAAAGCGAAGCUGGUUGCUUGGGCAAAACUAACGGUGACUCACCACAGACUUGUGAUAUGAUUGGUGAGAGCAGCAACCAACAAAAACAACAAAACCAACAACCAACUGAACCCAAACAAAGCACUACCACUGCAGAGGCGAAAAAAGCUGACGCCGAUGCGGUUAAAUUUAAGGCGCCAACAGGUAUCAUAAAACCCAAGCCACUCUCGCAAAUGAUGGCCGACAUGCACGAAGAGGAAAACGAUCCACCACCACAGAAAAUGUUCCAGAAGGUGCCACACUCGGGCCAAUUGAAUCUAACUAAAGGCAAGAGUUGUCCGCAAAAGCGUGAGUGUCCCUCUUCGCAAUCGGAGCUGUCGGACUGCGGCUAUGGCACACAAGUGGAAAAUCAAGAAUCCAUAUCCACUUCAAGCAAUGAUGACGACGGACCACAGGGUAAACCGCAACAUCAGAAACCACCAUGUAACAGUAAGCAACGCAGCAAGCAACGUAUUGUGAUGGCGAUGGUGGACAAGAAGGAACUGCGACGCAAGAAACUCGUCAAGCGUAGCAAGAGCAGUCUCAUCAACAUGAAAGGCCUGGUACAACAUACGCCCACCGAUGAAGACAUCUCUAAUUUAUUGAAAGAGUUCACUGUCGAUUUUCUACUCAAAGGUUAUGGUUGUCUAGUGGGCGAGCUGCAUUCGCAGCUACUUACCAAUAUUAAAAUUCCCAUCGAUACAUCGCAUUUCUUCUGGCUGGUCACCUACUUUCUGAAAUUUGCCGCCCAAUUAGAGCUCGAUAUGGAGCAUAUUAAUGCUGUGCUCACCUUCGAUGUCAUCAGUUAUCUAACUUACGAGGGUGUUACUUUGUGCGAGCAAUUAGAAUUGAAUUCCCGUCAAGAGGGUAGUGAUUUGAAACCAUAUUUGAGACGCAUGCAUUUGGUCGUAACGGCCAUACGAGAGUUUUUACAGGCCAUCGAAACAUAUAAGAAAGUAACACAUUUGAGUGAGGAUGAUCGUUUACAUUUGCGACGUCUACAGACACAAAUCAGUUCCACCGAAGAUUUGCGCUGUCUAUUCGUAUUACUUUUACGACGAUUCAACCCAAAUCUGCACACCAAACAGUAUCUACAAGAUUUGAUUGUAACCAAUCAUCUGUUACUGCUAAUACUGGAUUUUAUAACCCAAACAGAAGGCGAUACCAGCAUCAAGAUGACAGAGCACAUCUCACAAUUCGCCACGCUUGAGGUGAUGAACUAUUAUGGCAUGCUACUGGAGGACUUCAACAAUAAUGGCGAGUUUGUAAAUGAUUGUAUAUUCACGAUGAUGCAUCAUGUAGGCGGUGAUCUAGGACAGAUUGGCACAUUAUUCCAACCGAUUAUAUUGAAAACCUUCUCACGCAUUUGGGAGGCCGAUUAUGAGCUUUGCGAUGACUGGUCCGAUCUAAUUGAGUAUGUCAUACAUAAGUUUAUAAAUACACCACAAAAAAGUCCAUUGUCCUUGCCAAAAACUUCACUAACCGAGUUAACCAAGGAACACAACCUGGAGAACACAGUGUGCGCCUGGACACAAGAGGAAAUGGACACCUUAUAUUGGUAUUAUGUGCAAAGCAAGAAGAAUAAUGAUAUAGUCGGCAAGAUCGUGAAACUAUUCAGUAAUAACGGCAAUAAACAGAAGUCACGUAUCUCGAUUAUACAACAACUGCUGCAGCAGGACAUUAUAACCUUACUGGAGUACGAUGAUCUUAUGAAAUUCGAAGAUGCUGAGUAUCAACGUGCUUUACUAACGACACCAACAUCGACUUCUACUGAAUCGGGCAUUGAGCUGAAGAAUUCUUCCUCUUUUGCUAAGCCCUCUGAUGAUAUACAGAUUUUACGUGAUCUAAUUGUCAAGGAGAAUAAGGAGAAACAUUUGGUUUGGUUGCAAAAGAUAUUGCUGGAAUGUUGUUACAUAAAAUUAAUUUUGAAAAAUUGUUUACAACGUGAAGAUCGUCAGAAUUUACAAUACGUCAUGGAACCGGUAGCUUAUCAUUAUAUAUUGAAAAACAAAUCCAUACCGGUUGUGCAGUGGAACACCGAUCAGGCGACAACGAUGCUCUAUCAACCAUUCGUAUUGCUGCUACACAAGCUGGGUUUCCAGUUACCGGCAGAUGCCGGUUCAAUAUUCGCACGCAUACCGGACUACUGGACCGCUGAAAUGAUGUUUAGCUUGGCGCGCAAAUUGGGACCGUUAGACAAACGUGAGUAAUUAUUAAAGGUGGGGUAUAUGUUGAGUGGUCAAUGUUAACAAUUUUGAGCGUAUCGCUUUGUCCUUCUUUUUCUUUUUUCUCUGCCAAAUAAUAACUAAAUAAAUAAUAACAAUUCGACAACACAACAACAAUCAAUUUAAAAUUAUUAUCAAAUGGAUAAAUAAUAAUAAUAAUAAACAACAACAUAUUUUCAAAAUGAUUUCUACAAGCAAAAACAAAUCGACAAAAAUUAAUUCUAUUAUCAAUUUAUGCACAAAUCGAUAUAAAAUUAAAUAAAACAAAAAAAUAUUAUAAAAUUCCAAUUGUAAUAUUUCGUACUAAAUGUCAAUUGUAAUGCACCCCGCACGUUCAUCAACGUUCAUUUUCUUUAUGUAAACUUGCAAUGUUGUCUGCUAUCUUUCUAUUAUCCUUUUACCACUCCACUCUCUCUGUGUGUAUUUCUCUCGCUCUGUCUCUCUUGUGCUUUUGAUCUUGUAGUGUUGAUCAAGUUCGAUAUGAGUCAGUUUGAGGAAGCAAAUGCAAUAGAGUUGCAGCGUUGCCAUCAUGCAACAGCGGCGCGUGGUUCGCUCAGCUCAAUGUCCAGCCUGGAGAUGGAUAUCGGCGGUUCCGAUGAGUACACGACAUUAGUAGCAAGCGCAAUGGAAAAUGCCAAUGUAAAUGGAAAUACAAAUGGUAAUGGUAUUGGAACUACAACUAGCAGAGUAAGCAGUAAUAGGCGUUCGAGCAGCGGUAGUGGUAGCAUGUUGGCGCCGGUACCCGAGGUCGAUGCUAAAUUGGAGAAGGCAAGCGCGGCUAGCGAUGUUUUUGCUGUGCCAAAAUCGAAGCACUGCAAUCCCAUUAUAAGAUUUACACCAGAUCCGGCACCACUGCCGCCUGUGCCAAAUUGGUUGCAGUUGGUGAUGCGAAGCAAAAUAAAUACGAAUGUUCCAGUGACAACGGAUACCGCCCAUAACAAUAACAAUAAUAACGCAAUAGCAGCAACAACAACAAGUGAAAGCACAAUAACAACUCCAACUGUGUUGUCCACAUUGGUGACAACUGCCUCGGCAACAACGCCAACAACAACAACAGCAACAAUAACAACUAUACAACAACACAAUGUUUUAGUUACGGCAACAACAUCAACAAUUGGUUUAGCGCCAGCCACAACAAUACUAAUCCCCACAGACCAGUGUCCAUCCAUCAACAAUAUAAUUGGCUUGAAUAAUGAGAGGAAUAAUAACAACAACAAUAAUAAUAUUAAUAAUAAUAGUGGCAACACUGAGUGCAGCACAAAGAGUAACAACAAAAAUGUCAACGAUUUGAACAAACACAAGAGUGACAGCAACAUGAAUGCCGUCAGCGACAACAGCAGCAGCAACAGCAACAUUGGUAACAACAACAACAAUAAUAGCAGCACCAGCAGCGGUGGUUUAAGCGUAGGCGAUGGUUGUGUUGGCGGCGGCAGCUACACGGGCAGCGAGAGUGGCGGCAGCAACACAAUCAUCAAUGGCGACACAAAUGCUAGCAGCAGUGGCAGCCACAGCUACCACAACGGUAAACAUGAGAACAACAUUGCGGUAAUCGCACAGUGUGGCAUGCGCAAACACGCCGCAUUGCCGGCAAGCGCAACAAUGUCUGCGGUGACAGCAACAGCGAUGGCAGCGGCGGCGGCGGCAGCCGUGGUAGCAACUGACAAUUUUAUCAUUUAUCAGAAGCAACAACAACAGCUGCAGCAACAACAGCAGCAGCAAAAUCAUCAGCAACAAUUGUUGCUACAACAACAACCACAUUUCGAUGCUGCAAUUAAGACAUAUGAUUGCGGUGAGCAGACGACAUGCAACGAUUUGAGUUUCGGUGGCAUUGCUGCUGGUGUUGGUGUGGGCAGCAACGGCGGGGGCGUCGGUAGCGGAGGCGGUGUUGGUGCAUUAAGCGCACUUGCCGGUUUGAACAGCAAUUUGGAGAGCGAAUACAGCGCUAUGGUCGCGUCGGUGUACGAGCACGAGAUCGCUUACAGCGACUGUGCAUCUGUUGCCUCGGACUUAACCCGUAUGUACGUCAGCGAUGAGGAGGACAAAAAUGAGUUUCCUGUCACGCAUUUCACUUGAAAACGUUAACGAAACACUUCCACUACACAAACAUAUACAAAAACAAAAACAUAUACAUAUUAAUUAAUGUAAAAAAGUAAAAAAAAAAGUGUAAAGAUCUAAUCGAUGUUAAAACUUAAGAACGUAAGAAUAUAAAAACACUUUCUUCUACAAUUGGCCUUUACAGAGUAAAGAAUGUGAUCUUGCAAAGGGAAAUGCUUUAUACUAUUGCAUAUUGAAAUGUUAAGUAAAAAAGAAGAAGUUAAACUAUUACUAAACUGGUUUCUAAAACGCUGGCCUAGCUAAGUAUAUCUAAACAGUCUAUACAGACAUAUAAAAAUAUAAAAAACUAGUACUUCCUACGUGUACACAAAAUGCUGUUAUUUUCCUAUUUUCCCAUUUUCUAAACUAAAUAAAAUCUAAAAGCGACAAUUACUGUUAUGA